UACGUAGGUGGCAAGCGUUGUCCGGAUUUACUGGGCGUAAAGGGAGCGUAGGCGGAUACUUAAGUGGGAUGUGAAAUACCUGGGCUUAACUUGGGUGCUGCAUUCCAAACUGGGUGUCUAGAGUGUUGGAGAGGAAAGUGGAAUUCCUAGUGUAGCGGUGAAAUGCGUAGAGAUUAGGAAGAACACCAGUGGCGAAGGCGACUUUCUGGACAAUAACUGACGCUGAGGCUCGAAAGCGUGGGGAGCAAACAGGAUUAGAUACCCUGGUAGUCCACGCCGUAAACGAUGGGUACUAGGUGUAGGAGGGCUCGACUCCUCCUGUGCCGCCGUUAACACAAUAAGUACCCCGCCUGGGGAGUACGGUCGCAAGAUUGAA
rnacentral:rRNA from 1 species